GUCGACGAACUCUGGUAUUGAUUGGUGCUUGCAUCAUGAUUUACAUUUGAGUGAGUGGCGAACUGGUGAGUAACACGUGGGAAACCUGCCCAGAAGCGGGGGAUAACACCUGGAAACAGAUGCUAAUACCGCAUAACAACUUGGACCGCAUGGUCCGAGUUUGAAAGAUGGCUUCGGCUAUCACUUUUGGAUGGUCCCGCGGCGUAUUAGCUAGAUGGUGGGGUAACGGCUCACCAUGGCAAUGAUACGUAGCCGACCUGAGAGGGUAAUCGGCCACAUUGGGACUGAGACACGGCCCAAACUCCUACGGGAGGCAGCAGUAGGGAAUCUUCCACAAUGGACGAAAGUCUGAUGGAGCAACGCCGCGUGAGUGAAGAAGGGUUUCGGCUCGUAAAACUCUGUUGUUAAAGAAGAACAUAUCUGAGAGUAACUGUUCAGGUAUUGACGGUAUUUAACCAGAAAGCCACGGCUAACUACGUGCCAGCAGCCGCGGUAAUACGUAGGUGGCAAGCGUUGUCCGGAUUUAUUGGGCGUAAAGCGAGCGCAGGCGGUUUUUUAAGUCUGAUGUGAAAGCCUUCGGCUCAACCGAAGAAGUGCAUCGGAAACUGGGAAACUUGAGUGCAGAAGAGGACAGUGGAACUCCAUGUGUAGCGGUGAAAUGCGUAGAUAUAUGGAAGAA
rnacentral:rRNA from 1 species